rnacentral:sRNA from 1 species
AUAUCUCUCUGUACGGGAAGGAUGAGAAGCUUCGACUAAGGUUCGAUUCGAGCGUCAGCGAGAAAGCGUUGCCGCAGGCAACGACCCGAAGGGCGAAGCGCGCAGCGCUGAGUCA